rnacentral:rRNA from 1 species
AGUGAACGCUGGCGGUAGGCCUAACACAUGCAAGUCGAGCGGCAGCAGAGUAAGUGCUCGCGGUUACGGGUGGCGACGGGCGGGUGAGGCAUAGGUACCUCCCUGGCUGCGGGGGCUAGGGGCAGGACGUGGGCGCUAAUACGGUAUUAGUGCAGAGGGCGAACGGGGGAGAUCAUCGGACCUUCCGACAUUGGGUGAGCCAAUGACGGAUUAGCUAGUUGGUGGGGUAAAGGCGUACCAAGGCGACGAUCCGUCGCUGGUCUGAGAGGAUGAUCAGCCACACUGGAACUGAGACACGGUCCAGACUCCUACGGGAGGCAGCAGUGGGGAAUAUUGGACAAUGGGCGAAAGCCUGAUCCAGCCAUGCCGCGUGUGUGAAGAAGGUCUUCGGAUUGUAAAGCACUUUUAUUGGGGAAGAAGAGCAGUAGGUUAAUACCUCGCUGUUUUGACGGUACCAACAGAAUAAGCACCGGCUAACUUCGUG